CCAAAGGGUUUUCUAAAAACCAUCUUGGUUAUAAAACAGAUUUUGU
rfam:Pongo abelii chromosome 2a.